UUCUAUAUCUCAGUACUUAAGUUAAAGUACAAAUAACCAGAGACAUAUUUACUUUAGCAAAAGCAGAAGUACCACAAUGACAACCUUACAUAAGUAAAAAUUACCUGAUUUUAAAU